AGCUCCGAUUUGCAGUUGUCUGUCAUGUGCUUGUUCAUCUUCUCGUACUCACAACGUGCAAUUAUCCCUGCUCUCUUUUCAAUUACUCGAUUUUUGUAAUAGUUUCUCAUACAGUUAAAGACCAUCUCGAAAAAAUGAGUCCCUUUUCCAUCAACCAAGUCAACGAGAUGGAGUACGAAGACUUCAUCUCCACUUUCGGCAACGUUGUGGAACACUGUUCCCUCUUUGCCGCAGCCAUUUCGUCGCAACGUCCAUUUCAUGGCGUGAAACAGCUUCACAAAACAUUCUGCGACUUUAUCGACACUCUUCCGAAACUUGGCUUCGUACGAGGAGAACACAACGACUUAAUCACCACUCGUGGUGGACUUGUCCUUAUCAGAGGAAAGUAUCAGGGGAGGAUGAUAGAACAUACAUAAAGUGGCAUCAGGUAAAAACAAUGAGUCCGAUAUAUGUGUACUUAAUCUCUUCCAGGGUUCCGGUAGUUCCCUUAAUAAUUCUUAUGUGAACGAAACAAUGCUAUUUGUCAUCGGGCGGUGGUUUUCUAUUUUAUGAGUUUGCCGAUUUCGUAAAAGGAGAGAAACGAAACCCUGUUCACUUCGAUUACUCCGAACAAUGAAAAACACGGUAUCCCAACAUGCGAAUGAAACAAGAACCUUUCGCUUCCCUUGAAUAUGAGAGGAAUUUAUUGCGUAAUGAAUAUUGCCACCAGUCCACGGUUACCUACAACCAAUACGAAUUACGAUCUGCGGCCUGUGCGGUUUCGCUGGGGUUCUCAGGUGGGAGAAAUAAUUACAGGUUACUUGUCGCUACAUAACGAAUCAAAAAUUGGACCGCCUUUCAAUAUCUGCAAAUUUAGCUUUGAUAAGCUGGAAUAAAAUUUACGUCGGCAGCAUUAUGCGAGUAUGACGUAAAUUAUGUCAAUUUCAAACAUGAAACGACUAUUUUUAUAAGAAGAGAUAAAUUAAACAUUAUGCAAGGCCAACAACCGCUGAAAUGAAAAAUGCUGAUGGAUUGCGAAAUUCAACAUAAGAUGCAAAAAUUAUUUUCACCACUAUAUUCCAUUCCUCUUUCCACCACAAGAGCAAGUACACUGACGACUGACGGCAGGAUGGGAAAAAGUCCGGUUUUUGGUCUGGUACGAGAUGGAAAAGUGAAGUAGGAGAGAGGAUGAGAGAUGUGAAAUGGUGGGGUGUGUGUGGCGGUGUUGGUAUCAUGUCCUAUGGCUUCCAUACCGUGGUUGAAGUCGUGGUUUCGUUUUUCUCUCUCUGCCAGAAAACGAAGGCUCAUCACGUUAAAACCAAACCAAACCAAACCACCACGGAUGAGAAGUAGAAAACCGUAGAAAACCAGGAGCAAAAGCAGAACCCACCCCUGUAAAUGGAUGACAGGAUGGGAACAAAAUACCACCCGCAGUUUGUGCGAUUUACGCUACUUUCGAAACAUCCAUCCCUUUCACUGAACUGACUCAGAGGACGAGUCUCUCAUUCUGUAAAAGGUUGUUGAGAUGGAUGAAAGAGUAUUAAUUUAUCUGGCUUAAGGAAAGUAAAGAGUUUAAUAAUUGUGUUAAUUGUCGUAAUUUUGCGAUGGACCACAUUAUUUUAUAGGCGAAUCAAAUUUCCUCAGGUUUUAAUUUCGACGUCAAACUUUCACAGAUUUUAGAGAUAAAUUUAUUUAACUUUGUAUCAUUUUUAGUGAUGCUACACUAUCGUAAUGGAAAUUAUUAGGUGUGUAUGGUAAACUUGUGUCAUAAGGUUAGUAUGAAUUUAGUCUUAUUAAAUUGAUAUUUACAUACUGUGCCGAUCAUAUCAAAGAUAUCUUGAAUUUAUUUUUGUGAUUACACAUUUUAGGAAAAACUGGAUUGGUGUACAAAUCAUACAGUUUAAUUUAAACUCGAAAGUUAAUAUUUUGGCACAUUAAAAUAUUUAUCCGUAAAAUGUCAUACAUUUUGUCAUAAUUGUAAAAUUUCCUAAAUUUAACAUUUCAAAUUCAUAACCACUUUCUUUUUAUUUUUUUCACAAUUCUAAGCAUUGGUGAUCAUUAAAGUCGUUCUGUAAAAUAAAAAUGAUGAGCACUUUUCUACUUCAACAGAUCAAGUCGUUGUUUUUGUUUCAAGACGAUGGGUAACAUUUGCAUUUAUUUUGGCCUUCGUUCAGAUUUUGAAGUAAAACGAAUGUUGGGAAAAAAUAUAAAAAUCCGAGAUUUCGGAUCAGAUGAGAUUCCAGGAGUUUGUGCUCUUUACUUAAGAAAUCAGUACAACAAACUUAUUUAUGUAUGUAUGUAUGCACGGCUUGUGUGUAUGUGUGCACAUUACAAAUGUACUGUUACAUUUACACACAUUUAAACUGCAAUAAUAAUGUGCAUGUCCUCUGCAAUCUGAGAGGAUUGAAGGCAUCAAAUAGCUAUAUUUUUGUGCUACACGCUUAAAAAUCUGACAAUACAAGAACAUUAAUAAAUAGGUAAAAAAAAUGUAGCAAAGUUCCCAGCAAAAUUCAGACUAAUUUAUUAAAAUAGGUUUAAUGGGGUCGUCUUUUGUGGUUUGUUAGUUUUUCUUAAAACCUUCACGGAGUAACAUACAUAAAUAAAUACUACAAUUAACGUUAAAUUAUUUUUUACUUUCUACAAGCUCUGUUCUAAAAUGUUUCAUAUACCAUCCUUAGCUCGCAAUGGACCAUGGUCCACUGGACCAUGAAGGCAGAACUACAGUAAUUUUGUCGAAUCAUAAUUUCCCCAUUGUUGUAUUUUUCAGAAUUUUCUCGUCAUUUGUCUCAUUCUUUGUUGUAAAUAGUUUUUCCAUUAGAGGUCUUUGAGAUCUAACCAAGUUAUUAAAAUCGCCGAAAGUACGGCACAAUA